UUGCUUGUUUUUGUUGCGGAGAAAAACCAAAUCCGGUUCAAUUCGCAAGGGCUGGAACAACAUGCUGCACGCUUUUCUACUUUAACAUCUCUCUCUCUCUCUCUCUCUAGCUAAUGUUUUAAAGCAUGUAGAAACCAGAUCUUGUUCACGGGGGCGUCAAGGAGCAAGGACUGUGCUUCUAAGCUUUAAACAGAUCGUGUUCAUCCCUGCACAAAACAAAUGGUUAAAAAAAGAGAGACAUCUGGUUGCUUGU
rnacentral:lncRNA from 1 species